rnacentral:rRNA from 1 species
AUUGAACGCUGGCGGCAGGCCUAACACAUGCAAGUCGAGCGGAUGAGGGGAGCUUGCUCCCUGAUUUAGCGGCGGACGGGUGAGUAAUGCCUAGGAAUCUGCCUGGUAGUGGGGGAUAACGUUCCGAAAGGAACGCUAAUACCGCAUACGUCCUACGGGAGAAAGCAGGGGACAUUCGGGCCUUGCGCUAUCAGAUGAGCCUAGGUCGGAUUAGCUAGUUGGUGAGGUAAUGGCUCACCAAGGCGACGAUCCGUAACUGGUCUGAGAGGAUGAUCAGUCACACUGGAACUGAGACACGGUCCAGACUCCUACGGGAGGCAGCAGUGGGGAAUAUUGGACAAUGGGCGAAAGCCUGAUCCAGCCAUGCCGCGUGUGUGAAGAAGGUCUUCGGAUUGUAAAGCACUUUAAGUUGGGAGGAAGGGCUGCUGGUUAAUACCCUGCAGUUUUGACGUUACCAACAGAAUAAGCACCGGCUAACUUCGUG